rnacentral:snRNA from 1 species
GUGCUCGCUUUGGCAACACAGACUAUAAUUGGAAUGAUAAAGAGAAGAUUGGCAUGGCCCCUGCACAAGAAUGACAUGCAAAUUCUUUUUAAAAACAUGU